AACGAACGCUGGCGGCAUGCCUAACACAUGCAAGUCGAACGAGACCUUCGGGUCUAGUGGCGCACGGGUGCGUAACGCGUGGGAAUCUGCCCUUGGGUGCGGAAUAACAGUUAGAAAUGACUGCUAAUACCGCAUAAUGACUCCGGUCCAAAGAUUUAUCGCCCAAGGAUGAGCCCGCGUCGGAUUAGCUAGUUGGUGAGGUAAGAGCUCACCAAGGCGACGAUCCGUAGCUGGUCUGAGAGGAUGAUCAGCCACACUGGGACUGAGACACGGCCCAGACUCCUACGGGAGGCAGCAGUGGGGAAUAUUGGACAAUGGGCGAAAGCCUGAUCCAGCAAUGCCGCGUGAGUGAUGAAGGCCUUAGGGUUGUAAAGCUCUUUUACCCGGGAUGAUAAUGACAGUACCGGGAGAAUAAGCCCCGGCUAACUCCGUGCCAGCCGCCGCCGUAA
rnacentral:rRNA from 1 species